ensembl:lncRNA
CACAAACUUGGAAUCUUCUUAGAACUUCACCUCCCAGUCACCAGCUCUCUGUUUCAUUAGCUUCAAGAUGGAAUAAGCCCAAACUGGAUGGAAAGUUGGAAACCAAUGGAGAUGGUCAGUAUCUACACACUAGGGUGGUUUGUAUCCAUGGGACAAACAAUAAGAUUCAGGGAGGGCAGAGUCUGCAGUCAGCAAAUAAUGGAGGCUUGCCAAAGAUAACCUGUGAGGAUGUGUGAAUGCAAGAGUGUAACUGACCAAAAGCUUGAAAACCCUUUAGAAACUGAGACUCCAAAGCCAAAUGAAAAACAGAAAAUGGAAAAAACAUGGACAAAAAUGAACCAAAGAAACCCUCAUCAAAACCAUCUAAAGGUGCUCGCCAAGUGUUAACCUUCAGCAGCAUUUCCUCAGCUUCAGCAUUUUGUGGGCCCUCUAAAACUUAGAAGAUGGGAUAUCAGCAAGUCGGAAUGCUGCGUUGAGACCAUUUUGGAGGUAAACGAAUUCCUCCAGGCCCUCGGAAUGAGCCAGGCUGAUAAGAUCGUCGAUCUCUUCCUCCUGCCUGUGUGUCACAGUUUAGAUGUAAUCGUGGAAAUCGCCUGCGGUUCCCGAAACACCCAGAAGUGCUCCACAAGAAGAAAAAAUUGAAUCAGAGUGUCAUCGCUGCCGUGAUAAUGACACAGAACCCCCGCGUGGAGACCAUUACAGAUGUGGAGCGGAGCAGCGGAUUGGACGCUUCUGGGAAACGGUGCCCUGGGCGUUUUCAAUCCAUCCCGAGUGCAAGCAAUCCUGUGCUGAGCGCCGCCGAGGCACAUAAAUCACGAGGAGCGCUUCUCCUCGGGGACCAACUGAGGCCGGAGGCGAAGAGCAGAACCUCGACGCUCCAAUUAGCGCUUUGCGCACCGAACGCACGGACGAGGGAUCGAGGGACCCGAGGCUCCGCUGCCAGGAAGCGUGAGUCAUGUUGGACUUGGGGGGGGGGGGCAGCGGGGAGCGAUGCUCCUCUUCGGCCCAGCGGGAACAAUGAAGGGCCUGGCUGGCUCUGUGUAUGUGUAUGUGUGUGUGUGUGUGUGUAUGGGGGGGGUGUGAGGGGGAGUGAAUGGGGUGACCUUCUGUCUGAUGUUUAUGUGAGCGAGCAUUGCAUUAUGGGAAAGAGGCCUUUCACAGCUGCGUCUGAAAAUGAUCAGACUGUUCUUUUUAUCUCCUCUCUGCCCUGCCCCCCCGACACACACACACACACACACGCCACCUUCAGACCCCCCGCCCCCCCCCCCCCAAAUCGUCCUCACUGUCUCCACUUUUUUUUAUUAUGUUAAUAAUUGGUGCCCAGUCUGGUGGCAAUAAUGUGCCCAUUCUGGGCUGUUUCCUCACAGAGGUCAGAGGUCGGGGGUGAUUAACACACAGGAUGCGACCUUUGGCCCCCCAGCACCUCCGCGCAACAUUAAUCUCGGCCAGGCGAGCAUUCGGCCUGAUAAUGGCACCUUAAUUAAUGAUGCCGUCUGCGCGCAGCCGGUCCCCUGCGCCACGCGGCCCCCGUUAACCCCUCGCUUGCCGCCGGACGCAGCGCCCCUCUCCGAACUCGCAUCCCCCACGUCACUCUUUCCCGCAUCUUCUCAUUUUUGGCUUCGCGCGCAGGUUCUGAGCUUGGCGCCACGUCUUCUGAACGUUCAAGUCACAGAUUUCCAAAGAUUUCUUACUUUAUUCACUUUUGAUUACAAUUUCUUUCUCUACAGGUGGUCCUCGACGUGCGAUGGUUCGACUUACGAUUUUUUCGACUUUACGACGGUGAGCUGGCGAAAGACGUUCGGUAGAAACCGUACUUGGAAUUUUGAAUUUAGAUCUUCUCCUGGGUAAGCGAUAUGCGGAGCGAUACUCUGGUGGUGCUGGGCAGCGGCGGAGAUCCGUACCUCCCCGUCUGUCACACAGAGGUGUGUAUUAGGCCUAUUAAAUGCGAUAUUUUCCACUCAUGGUGUGUUUCGCGGAACGUAACUCCAUCGCAACCCCCUCUCAGCACCCCUAUCUAUUUUCCAUAAUUUUCGUCUGACGUGAUCGAGCGCGCCCGGCGUUUACCCUCCGAGCUGCUAGAUGGCGGUAAAGUGAAGUGAAAUGAAAACGGAUGUGACCACCUUCACUCAACCCACCUCCAUGAUUUUUACAGCUCACAACCAGUGUUCUUCAGUGCUGGAGAUCAAGAAAAAAAUGAGCAAUUUUGCUCAAUUUAUGGAAUAAAUCACUCUACGCAACAUGUUUCUCGUCUGUC